rnacentral:hammerhead_ribozyme from 1 species
AUCCAGCUGAUGAGUCCCAAAUAGGACGGAAUGCGCGUCCUGGAU